CCUACGGGUGGCAGCAGUGAGGAAUAUUGGUCAAUGGGCGAGAGCCUGAACCAGCCAAGUCGCGUGAAGGAUGACGGCCCUACGGGUUGUAAACUUCUUUUGUCAGGGAGCAAUUGAGUCCACGUGUGGUCUUAUCUAGAGUACCUGAAGAAAAAGCAUCGGCUAACUCCGUGCCAGCAGCCGCGGUAAUACGGAGGAUGCGAGCUUUAUCCGGAUUUAUUGGGUUUAAAGGGUGCGAAGGCGGAAUAUAAGGUCAUCGGUAAAAAUUCGGGGCUCAACCCCGUCGUGCGGUUGAAACUGAUGGUCUUGAGUGGGCGAGAAGUAUGCGGAAUGCGUGGUGUAGCGGUGAAAUGCAUAGAUAUCACGCAGAACUCCGAUUGCGAAGGCAGCAUACCGGCGCCCAACUGACGCUGAAGCACGAAAGCGUGGGUAUCGAACAGGAUUAGAUACCCGUGUAGUC
rnacentral:rRNA from 1 species